rnacentral:rRNA from 1 species
UACGUAGGGGGCAAGCGUUGUCCGGAUUUAUUGGGCGUAAAGAGCGUGUAGGCGGCCAGACAGGUCAGCUGUGAAAACUCGAGGCUCAACCUCGAGACGUCGGUUGAAACCGUCUGGCUAGAGUCCGGAAGAGGAGAGUGGAAUUCCCGGUGUAGCGGUGAAAUGCGCAGAUAUCGGGAAGAACACCGGUGGCGAAGGCGGAUCUCUGGGCCGAUACUGACGCUGAGGAGCGAAAGCGUGGGGAGCGAACAGG